rnacentral:rRNA from 1 species
CAGUCGCCACGGGAAUACGGAGGGCGCGAGCGUUACCCGGAUUUACUGGGCGUAAAGCGUGCGUAGGCGGUUGUGUAAGACAGGUGUGAAAUCCCCGGGCUUAACCUGGGAACUGCGCUUGUGACCGCACAGCUAGAGUAUGGCAGAGGGGGGUGGAAUUCCACGUGUAGCAGUGAAAUGCGUAGGGAUGUGGAGGAACACCGAUGGCGAAGGCAGCCCCCUGGGCCAAUACUGACGCUCAUGCACGAAAGCGUGGGGAGCAAACAGGAUUAGAUACCCCCGUAGUCCCUGUCUCUUAUAA